rnacentral:rRNA from 1 species
UACGUAGGGGGCGAGCGUUGUCCGAAUUUACUGGGCGUAAAGCGCGUGUAGGCGGCUCUUUAAGUCAGAUGUGAAAUCCUGCGGCUCAACCGCAGAACUGCAUUUGAAACUGGGGGGCUUGAAUUUGGGAGAGGAAAGUGGAAUUCCUGGUGUAGCGGUGAAAUGCGUAGAUAUCGGGAGGAACACCAGUGGCGAAGGCGGCACCCUGGAUCAGCACUGACACUCAGGCACGAAAGCGUGGGGAGCAAACAGG